GGGGCGUUAGCUCAGCUGGGAGAGCAUUCGGUUUGCAACCGAAAGGUCGCGAGUUCGAUCCUCGCACGCUCCA
rnacentral:tRNA from 1 species